rnacentral:rRNA from 1 species
UACAGAGGGUGCGAGCGUUAAUCGGAAUUACUGGGCGUAAAGCGUGCGUAGGCGGUUAUCUAAGUCGGGUGUGAAAGCCCCGGGCCCAACCUGGGAAUUGCAUUCGAGACUGAAUAGCUAGGGUACGGUAGAGGGAAGUGGAAUUUCCGGUGUAGCGGUGAAAUGCGUAGAUAUCGGAAGGAACAUCAGUGGCGAAAGCGACUUCCUGGACCAGUACCGACGUUCAGGCACGAAAGCGUGGGGAGCAAACAGG